GCAUGCUUUACACAUGCAAGUCGAACGGAGGCCCUAGCUUGCUAGGUGUCCUUAGUGGCGCACGGGUGAGUAACACGUGGGAACAUACCUUAUAGUACGGAAUAACUGCGGGAAACUGUAGCUAAUACCGUAUAUUCCAGUAAUGGGAAAGAUUUAUCGCUAUAAGAUUGGCCCGCGCAAGAUUAGCUUGUUGGUGAGGUAAAAGCUCACCAAGGCUUCGAUCUUUAGCUGGUUUGAGAGGACGAUCAGCCACACUGGGACUGAGACACGGCCCAGACUCCUACGGGAGGCAGCAGUAGGGAAUAUUGGACAAUGGGGGCAACCCUGAUCCAGCAAUGCAGCGUGAGUGACGAAGGCCUUAGGGUUGUAAAACUCUUUCAUCGGUGAGGAUAAUGACAGUAGCCGAAGAAGAAGGACCGGCUAAUUCCGUGCCAGCAGCCGCGGUAAUACGGAAGGUCCUANCGUUGUUCGGAAUUACUGGGCGUAAAGCGCAUGUA
rnacentral:rRNA from 1 species